CCGUCCGAUUUGUGAAGUUAAGCAGCCACAGGCUUAGUACUGAGGUCAGUGAUGACUCGGGAACCCUAAGUGCCGUACCCUCAUGACACUCA
rnacentral:rRNA from 1 species